rnacentral:rRNA from 1 species
UACGUAGGGGCCGAGCGUUGUCCGGAGUUACUGGGCGUAAAGCGCGCGCAGGCGGCUCGUCAAGCCUGACGUGAAAGCCCCCGGCUCAACCGGGGAGGGUCGUCGGGGACUGGCGAGCUUGAGGUCGGCAGGGGCUGGUGGAAUUCCCGGUGUAGUGGUGAAAUGCGUAGAGAUCGGGAGGAACACCCGUAGCGAAGGCGGCCAGCUGGGCCGUACCUGACGCUGAGGCGCGAAGGCGUGGGGAGCGAACGGG